AGCUAAGCAAUCCCCAUUAAAACGCUGUCAGAAGAACUCCAAUUGCCGUGUCUUCCUUGCUGGCGAGGGGGCGCGACAUUUUUUGACCUGGGAAGUCACAUUUCCCUGAAUUUAAAACACCAUGAGGAAGGAAAUGAGAUCCCUGGCCUCAAGGAACAUAUGUUCUCCUCAGGGAGAUGAAGGGAAACCAAUGGCAUUCCCAACUCCAAGAGCAAUAUCCUCACAGCCAUAUCUAAAGGCAGGAAGCUUAUGGGUAGUCGGGG